UAAUACGGGGGGUGCAAGCGUUAUUCGGAAUUACUGGGCGUAAAGAGCGCGUGGGCGGUCUUUUAAGUCAGGUGUGAAAGCCCGGGGCUCAACCCCGGAAGUGCACUUGAAACUAAGGGACUUGAGUAUGGGAGAGGGAAGUGGAAUUCCUGGUGUAGCGGUGAAAUGCGUAGAUAUCAGGAGGAACACCGGUGGCGAAGGCGACUUCCUGGACCAAUACUGACGCUGAGGCGCGAAGGCGUGGGGAGCAAACAGGAUUAGAUACCUUGGUAGUCCACGCCGUAAACGAUGAUCACUCGUUGUUGGCAAUACAUCGUCAGCGACUGAGCGAAAGCAUUAAGUGAUCCACCUGGGGAGUACGCUCGCAAGAGUG
rnacentral:rRNA from 1 species